UGAAGGAACAAAAAUGUUUUACCUUAAUAUUUUAAAAUUUAGAGUUGUAUUCGAAUACGAACUAUUUUACACUUCUGUACAUGUUUUGGAUAUUUAAACUUUGCUACUGCAAAGUUUGAGCCUUACUUCAUCUAUAAACUUAUGUAUUUCUGGUCGGAAUACUGUUUUUAUUUUAGUUUAUCAAUUGAAAACUAAAUUAUCUUUAAUAUUUUAUAACUACUUAAUCUACUGAAUCUGGAACAAAGGAAUGUCGAUUAGAGGUGUGUAUCAAUAGUGUCAUUAAAAGGUGCUUUCCAUUAAUUGUCCUCUAUUAAAUUGACAGAAAUUACCGAAAAAAACAAAAUUUCACGCCUUGUCAAGUCAUUUAAUAAAUGCUUAAAAAUCUAAAACUUCGAAACUAGUAUAAAAGCAUGAAAUUGAUAACUUCUAAUAUCAAACAUUUCUGAAAAGUUCAAGUAUAAACCAAUAAAAUGGGAAAAACAAUUAUCUUACUUUUGGUCGUUUGCAUGCUGAUUGGUGCAUCGGUUUCAAAUCCAUUAAUGGUGACUGAAUCUGGUCCUAAAUCUUUUGCCAUGCAAGGUUCUUCUUCAUCUGGCUCAUCUUCCGGUGGAGGCAGCAGCAGUGGCGGUGGAAGCAGCGGAAGUGGAAGCAGCAGCGGUGGUGGUUCGCAAACUUCAUCUGGUUGAAAAGAUCUAGAUAAACUUGAAAAUGCUUUCAUUUCUUUUGAGGUUUGAAAUUAAAUUGCAAUAAAAAAGUAUUGAAAUACAAAAAAAAAA